UCCCUGGCGGCGGCGGCGGCGCUCAGGCCCCUUCCUUACCUGGGAAGGGAGACUUCCAGAGGUGGGCGGACUGCGACUGCUCCUUGGAGCAGUACACCUGACUGUCCCAGCCAUUGGAGAGAGCCCAGUGCUGGUAGCCUUCGACCGGGAUGAGCGCGUCGUGACGGGGCUCCGGGUGCCCGCUGAUCCCAGGCACCACCGACACGUCCAGCCCUCUGACUUGUCUGGAGCCUCAAUAGAGUCACCCCUUUGCGGGGGGCAUCUCCGCGGAAUUGAGCCAAGUUCUUUUCAGCACGGGGCCUCCCUGAGGAGAAAAGCCUGUAGGUGGUAGAGGAGGUGCAGAGGCCCUAGCUACUACUCCGUAUGAAGUGUCGCACCCUCAUGGAGAAUCUAUGAGUGGACCGGUUCUGUGGUUCUUUAGGGCUACCAGGAGAAACAAAGGACCUGAAACGCCGGCCCCAUUCCUUAGACACUCUCUGGUCCAGUCUGAUGCCAGAAGGUCCGGAAU